rfam:Candidatus Syntrophoarchaeum caldarius isolate BOX2 BOX2_8_reassembly_contig04, whole genome shotgun sequence.
GGGCCCGUGGUCUAGGGGUUAUGACAUCGCCCUUACACGGCGAGGAUCAUGCGUUCGAAUCGCAUCGGGCCCA